rnacentral:lncRNA from 1 species
CCAGGACCACUUGUCACCAGAAAAAGAGGAAAAUUCAUGUAGAAACAAAGUCCCAGUGGGUCUUUCACCGACGAUUAAUUCAUCCAUAUCCAUAUCUGUGUUGUCUGGUUUUGCGGGUUUAACUACUUCAAUGCUCCAAUGGAUGCCUAUGAAUGACGUGGUAUAAAGAGAUAUGUUCCAACUUGCAUAUAGUGUUAACUAGUGUGUUGUCUGCUAGGGUUGAGGUGGGUCAUUGUGUCGUGCGACUUGCAACAGCUACAUGGAAAACUCUUCACAAUUUUUCUUUUUCUUUUUCUUUUUUGUAAAUUGGCUGUCUAAUUUAAAUACCCAAUGACAUUACAAGGGGCUUAUAAUUCAACUAAUUAAGAACGUUCAUUCAUAAACAUGAAAUUCUGUGUUUGAAUCUCCCUCUCAAAUUUAUGAAAUCUAUCACAACCGCACUUGUCAAAAUGCAUGAUUACCUAAGUUAGUAAUACUAAAAUGAAGGUACUUG